ensembl:lncRNA
AGAAACCUUUAGGAGCUCCCUACUUACUCACACUGCCAAAUCCAAAUUCUUCACCUCAGCCUUCAAGGCUCUUCAAGCUGAUCCAAUACAACUGUGUCCUGAGUUACUUACUGACCCUGGCCUUUGCUGGAUGCUUCUGCUUUCACUCCCAGAGCCCCAUCUCCUUUGUGCCACUGGCUGUAACUUUGGCUCAGGUUGGCUUCUGGUGAAUAUUGGUCCCUUUUCCCAUUUUCAUCGGUAGCUCUGACGGUAAAGAAUUUGCCUGCACUGCAGGAGACCUGGGUUUGAUCCCUGGGUUGGGAAGAUCCCUUGGAGAAGGAAAUGGCAACUCAUUCCAGUACUUUUGCUGGGAGAAUUCUAUGGACAGAGGCUACAGUCCAUGGGAUCGCAGACAGUCGGACACGACUGAGCAACUAACACUAACAGGUGAGAAAGGUACUGGCUGGCUUUUUUGUUGUUUUCAUUUUUGGGGCCUCGGCCCGCAGCAUGUUGGAUCUUAGUUCCCCAACCAGGGAUCAAACCGGUGCAACCUGAAUUGAAAGCAUGGAAGUCUUAACCACCAGAUCAUCAGGGAAGUUCCUUUUUUAUUCCUUUUUUUUCUUUAAGAGAAAUAUAUUUGCAUGACAUUCAUUUGAACCUAUGCAACAAUCAAGUUCACUAGAAACAGGAACAAUCAAGAAAGACCCCCAUCCCGACGAGCCUCUGACUUGGGUUUUCAGGUGCAGAGGCUGGCCUGCCUUCUGCAACCUGUCCAGUCCCUUUUCUAGCCUGAGGGCCCUUGAGUUCCUGGGACUCUUCCUAAAAUGGCCUCCUGGGGGCCACCAGGUUAGCCUGGGCUCUCAGGCCCCGCCCACCUCUCUUUCCUCUACAAGCUCCACCCCAGACCUGUCCCAGGAGUCAGGACCCCAGGUUCAUCACCACGCUAGUCCUUCCCUCUCAAGGACACAGCUUUUCCGAAUGUGAAAAAAGGCAGCAGGGCAGGGCGCAAAACUGGAUGAGAGAAAAAGGACAAAAUAACCUCCCAGCUGGAAAAAGCUUUCCCACGAAAGUUCUCAGCAAGUGGCUGUGCUUCGGGCUAAAAGGAGGAAGGAGCUGCUCCCUUCCCUUCGUCCUGAUGGACUGAUACCUGCUGUGGCACAAGAGCUGGGAAAUACUGGCCUAGGGGGCUGCCGCUGGCUGAAUACACAGGGUCAUCCCAUGCACUUGGCACAAUGCCUGUCGCCAAGUGCUGGGAACAGUCACACUGCCAGGCUCACCUGGCUGCAGCUGCUUCCCCUUCCAGGUCCCCCUCACCUAGGCCCUCUUCCCCUCUGUGAUCCUAGUGACCAGGGCCUUGAGGUUUUUACCUUUCUUACCUGAGAAUUCAUGUAAACCUCCCUUUCUCUCUCAGAAGGCUGUGGACAGAGCACCCCAAUAAAUUGUCUGGGGCCUUUAGUCAGGCCCUGGUUUCCCCAUCUGAAAUGGAAGCACUGGGCGGCAGAACUGGCACCCUGGCGAUCGCAGCAAGGAGAGCAGUGUGGCCGACUGGGUUCUAAGCAUUUGCAGGUUGGUGCGGCUUCAAUGAGGAACCCAGGUGCACCUUAACAAUCAUUUAGUCAGCAUUCUGAUGGGCUUAGGGCCUGGGGAGCAAACUAGAUCUUUAUUCUGAGUUCUCCAUAGUUAAAGUGCAGUUAAGACCAAAAGCCAUUUCAAACCUGCUGAUUUCCAAGCUCAAGGGUCUUACAGGAACCAGAGGCCCAGCAAAGGCCUUGCCCAUUUUUAGGCUGACUCUGUGUUAGACUCUGUGCUAGGCUCUGCGGGGCACAAAGUCUCCCCGAAAGGCCAGCAGCUUGGUCAACAGAUUAUUUCACAGAAUGUGGAACAGAGAGCAAAGAGCAGGGAAGAGAGUGGGUA